AAUACAUUUAGUUAUACAGGGUGUUUACGGUCGUGGGGUUGAAACUUAAAGGGGAUGGUAUGAGUGAUGGAAGAACCCCAAAACUCUAUAAAAAUAUAUGUAAGAAAAUUCACAUUAUAACAGAAAAUCAUUAAAUUUACAUAUUUUUUGUGAACUGCUGCUUCGACUACAACAAUUACUAUUACUAAAGAAGAAAGGUAAGGUAAGGAAGGUAAGGUCUUAGUUCCCCACAACUCCCAAGGUGGCACUUUUCUACCUUUCUCUCGUGAAUUACUAUUAUCUUGUGCUUCGCCUUCAGAGAUAAAGAUGAAAAACCUCCUCUGAACACAAACCAAACUUGCUGGAAACGAUUUCGGUUCAAGUGAUCAACAGAGGACCAACGGAUUUAAAUUUUCAUCAAAAAUAAAGUAAAGCCAAAUGAAAUGAUGACAUUGUCAAAACUAUGAAGUGACGUUUUUCACUGUCGUGGUUACAAUGUUCUUAUUUGUUGCAACAAUUAAAUUUUAUUUUAACAAAGACCCUCAAACUCUACCGUACUUCGGAGUUAAAUAACAUUCUUAAAAAUAACAA